rnacentral:rRNA from 1 species
CAACUGUGUGAAUUAAUGCGAACUGCAUACUGCUUUGAACAUCGACAUCUUGAACGCAUAUUGCGGCCAUGGGUUUGCCUGUGGCCACGCCUGUCCGAGGGUCGGCUUAUAAACUAUCACGACGCCCAAAAAGUCGUGGCUUGGGUCUUGCCAGCUGGCAUGAUUUCCCCGCACGUUUGUGUGGGGUGCCGGAUCUGUGGCUUUUCCCCAAUGUGCCGGACGCAACCAUGUCUGGGCUGACUGCCUAGAUGAGGGGGUGGCGGCGGAGUCGUGGCUCAAUUGUUCUUAUUGUUGUGUAUGUGCGCGCUCCGUUGUUGUUCCUUUGUCUUUGGUUGAAGCUCCAGUAGUGGCAAUGCAUUCGAUGCAAAUCUGUUUUGCACUUCCGUGCUUAACUUYCCUGACCUCGGAUCAGACGUGAUUACCCGCUGAACUUAAGCAUAUCACUAAGCGGAGGAAAAGAAACUAACAAGGAUUCCCUCAGUAACGGCGAGUGAACAGGGAAAAGCCCAGCACCGAAGCCUGUGGCCAAUUGGUCACUAGGCAAUGUGGUGUUCAGGUUGUUCCGCGGAGGUGCUGCUCCAUUCCAAGUCCAGCAAUGAGUACGGUAAUGCUGACAUGGCCCAAAGAGGGUGAAAGGCCCGUUGGGGUGGAGAGGCAGAAAUGACAGCACCUUCCUGGAUAGAC